AACGAACGCUGGCGGCAGGCCUAACACAUGCAAGUCGAGCGAACUCUUCGGAGUUAGCGGCGGACGGGUGAGUAACGCGUGGGAAUAUGCCCUUUGGUACGGAACAACAGUUGGAAACGGCUGCUAAUACCGUAUGUGCCCUACGGGGGAAAGAUUUAUCGCCAAAGGAUUAGCCCGCGUUGGAUUAGGUAGUUGGUGGGGUAACGGCCCACCAAGCCGACGAUCCAUAGCUGGUUCGAGAGGAUGACCAGCCACACUGGGACUGAGACACGGCCCAGACUCCUACGGGAGGCAGCAGUGGGGAAUCAUAGACAAUGGGCGCAAGCCUGAUCUUGCCAUGCCGCGUGAACGAUGAAGGCCUUAGGGUUGUAAAGUUCUUUCAUCAGGGAAGAUAAUGACGGUACCUGAAGAAGAAGCCCCGGCUAACUCCG
rnacentral:rRNA from 1 species